GACGAACGCUGGCGGCGUGCUUAACACAUGCAAGUCGAACGGAAAGGCCCUGCUUUUGUGGGGUGCUCGAGUGGCGAACGGGUGAGUAACACGUGAGUAACCUGCCCUUGACUUUGGGAUAACUUCAGGAAACUGGGGCUAAUACCGGAUAGGAGACCCUGUUGCAUGGUGGGGGUUGGAACGUUUCGGCGGUUGGGGAUGGACUCGCGGCUUACCAGUUUGUUGGUGGGGUAGUGGCUUACCAAGGCUUUGACGGGUAGCCGGCCUGAGAGGGUGACCGGCCACAUGGGGACUGAGAUACGGCCCAGACUCCUACGGGAGACAGCAGUGGGGAAUAUUACACAAUGGGCGGAAGCCUGAUGCAGCAACGCCGCGUUCGGGAUGACGUCCUUCGGGUUGUAAACCGCUUUCGCCUGUGACGAAGCGUUAGUGACGGUAAUGAGUAAAGAAGCACCGGCUAACUACGUG
rnacentral:rRNA from 1 species